rnacentral:tRNA from 1 species
AAAUAAGAAACAAAAUUAUUGUAACUAGUUUCGACCUAGUAUCUUGAUGAUAAAUCAUCCUUAUUUA